UGCAGUAUGUCUGUUUGAGUAACUUUUGCUUAUUACUAUAUUGAUAACAGUAGAGUUUCUUUUGAAUUUGUGUUGUCAUUACAUUUCAAUGUUUUAUUUUCAUGAAGUAAAUCAUGGUUUGUCCUGUUCCUACAAAUGGUGAUACUGGUGUCGCCUCCAUGAGACACUUUGCCUGCAGAUGGUGCACACACCACCAAUUUAUGUGUCUGCCACACCCAUGUACAUGUGCUAGUGGUUGGAAUGCAAGCUUCUGUCGCCAGAGACAAAAGACCUGGUAGUUUGAGGCAGUGUUGAGCCAUUACUUGCAGCUGCAACUAGCCAGGCUAGAUGAAAACUGUGGUCUCUCAUAAAGCCCUCAACAGUCAGGUGACAGUGUGGGCUCUCCCGAGGCAAGUGUACACCGUGUGAAUGUACACACUCGAAAGCCACCGUGACUGACGCAUUGCCUGUCCGGCAGGUGGCGUCCCUCGUCAGGUGCCCGCACAGUGCCCCAUCACUGAGCAGCAGCUUGGGGGAGCAGUCCAGACACCACCACAGCCUCGCACCAAGCCUGGUGACUGCUGUUAUUUGCUUCACAAUGUUGUGAGUGCUAUAAUUGUAUACUUUAUCGAGUUUUCCGCGUCAGUUCGCGUUUGUCUUUGAACCGUUGUUAUAGCUUUUUGUUUUGUUUUGUGUGAAAACACCACUUUGCAGAGGCAGCUACAAAUGUGAAUCUGGUAUAUGAAAGACAAAUUGGAGUUUUUGAAGUUAUGAUAAUUAUCAACAAAACAGCUGAAAUACUUAUGAAAUGUUUUCAGGGUGUAUAACAAUCAGGUUGCCGCAGGACAUCAUCAGCGAGCUCAGAAAGCAAGCGAAGGGAUUGAGGUAGCAGACCCUGAAGAGUCCACAGCAGCUGAAAACUCCAUUUCUCCAUAUGCAAGCCCUGAAGUGCAGGAGUUUAUCAGAGGACAGCAGUUCCAAUCUUCACCUUUGGCUAAGGCAAACUUCCAUCCAAGCAGGCUGGAGCAAACAAACUCACAGUUCUGAGGAAGAGCAGACACCACGUCGAAGGGAGAGACUCUGUGGCAUGCAUUUGAUGCAGUGACCAUCAGAGAAUCUCUCCAUUUUGACCCGGCCUCCGAUUCCAUCAUUGGUACGAAGGAUUUUGGAGACCGUGGCAAGAGUCUGAAGCAGGCAAACCAUGCACUUGUGUUCAUGGCUAAAGGGUUGGCCAGGAAGUGGAAAGUGGUUAGGUUAGGUUAGAUCAGGUUAUGUUAGGAUAGGUCAGGUCAGGUCAGAUAAGGUCAGGUUAGGAUUGCCUUAUUUUAAGCUCUCGUCUCCAUUCAAGUACAAAGAACGAGCACUUCCGCGUUCCCCGCCCACAAACCCCUCUUCCCAACGAGUCCCCAAGGUCGCCGGGGGACGAGAGAAGAAGAGGCUGCAGAGUGAAGUGAUUCCACUGUGUUUUGUGCUCAAAAUCGUCCAUAACAUAAACAAUCAAUAACGGACAUCACAGUUUUGUAGUUUGCGGUUUGGUCGUACUGUAGCAAUUCAUCCUCCUCAGGCACGGGUUGGUUAGGUUAGGUUAUGCCUGCUUAGGAUAGGUGGCUUAGGGUAGGCUAGGUUAGCUUAGGUUAAAACCCUUCAGAGAGUCUCUUGGGGCCUUUAGCAGAGCUCGGCUCGGGGAACACGUCGCGUUCACCACCCAGCCCCUCCACGCUGCCGCCAGUCAGCACGUGGCUCAAGACUCGUCGUCAGGAGCAGGACUAAACAGCCAAUCGUUUAAAGAAUCACAUCGUGCUCAUUUUUUCAAGUGUUGGGAUGAUGUGAGUUGUGCACUUUUGUUUGCUGGUCUCCCUGUGAAUUGCAUGUUUACAUUUUUGAUGAGUGCUUGCCUUCAAGUAGGAUCUGAUGCACUCAGUGUAAAUACAAGACUGAUUUUGUGACACCUGUGAGUGCUUUCAAGAACACUUAUCAGUCUACCACCAGACUGCAACACUGCCCGUGCUGGCGAGGUGCUGCUUAAACUGAGCGGCUGGGCAGUCAGGCGUGCAUUUUGCACUGGCCACACCGACGCAAAGCAUUACCGGUGUUCACCUGACAGCCGCAGGGUGUCCACGGACGUGACCAUGAGGACUGUCCACAGUAGGCCCAAUGACAAGCUGAGGAGUGAAUUUGCUUGCUCUGUGGAGAUUCAGGGGAACCACAAUCGUCCCCUUGGCCCUGCUGAUGCCCUCGGUGAACCAAGGGUGCCCUCAGCUACACCAGAGCUAUUUGAGAGCCAUUUGAACCAAAACCCUUAAGUUAUCAUUAUUAUUAUUAUUAUUAUUAUUAUUAUUAUUAUUAUUAUUAUUAUCAUUAUUAUUAUUAUUAAUUGUUUUUAUUUAUCUGUUUGUUAUUUUCCGGUGAAAAGCAGCACUGGAUAGGGAUUGUGGGGGAGAGAAAGAGCAGGGUGAAGAUAGAGGUGUUUCAUUUCCUGAAUGUUUCAACAAGCUGCCUUCACGGGGAACAAAUUGUCACCGAAGAAGACAGCUUGAAAAAAUACCGAGGAAUGAGAGGUCUGGUGCUUCACCCUGCUUCCUUGCAACCAGCACGGUCCCCGUGCACUCGUGCAGCCUAGAGAUGCUGUCUGAUGCUUUCCUGUUGGCUUGCAGCUAGUACAGGAUGAAAUACAGUUUGUGUUCUGAAUUAGUGAGUUAGUGUUCAGCUAGCCACUGUGUUGUUUCCUUGGUGACGGUCACGUGUCCGCCACGUUCAAUGUUUUUGCCCUCUCUUUGAGAAGUGUGCACACCAACUGCUGAAAUAUUUGCACUGCAUCACAGCUCGCUCAACAAAACGGGUUACCAAGCUUAUAGCAUAACCAUUACCUGCAGGCUUACCACCUCAUUAAUAUCUAUAAGCACCUCUUGAAAUUAAGCAAUACUUCAUUUGUUUAACAUGAAUUUACAAACACAAAUGUGAAGAAAGAAAUACAUCUUGGUAAAGGAUGCAAAAUGUUGUAAACAAAAACAUUUUGCAUCACAUUCAUAUUGGUUAAUGUUAGAAAAAUGAUAAAUGUAAUAAGCUCACACACACACACACACACACACACACACCUCUAUAUUUUGAGGGAGUUUCUCCGAUACGACUCUAACCUGGGAGCUACUACUACUUUCAAAUGAACUUCUGAGUACCUGACCACUGAUGUGACGUGCCACAGGGCCUGAGUAACAUUUCUACUGCCAGUACUGAAGGUAUUAUCAAGUCUUCCCUGUACUGUUGUGUGAGCCACAGAAGGUAAACAAGGUGGUGUGUUUUGCCAUGUAUAUAUUGUACCACCUCACUGACUUAUGCAUGUAAAGAAAUUCUAUUGCUGAACUCCACACAAGAAUGGCACACUUCAUUGGGUCUGAACCUGAAGAAUGAGUGAAGACAAAGGUAGAAAAUGAGCUUGCUAAUAUAACCAGCAGCAAUGAUGGAAGGGAAAGCAGAAGUGUAAGUAAGACGAUUAAGGAUGCAGUUGUUAUGCUGUCCAGCCUGGCAGCAUAAUUUCGGUCGCUGUGUCUACGGCUGUAUCUACUGCUUUCAACGAAUUCAGGGAUAAAUUAGAAAACAAGAUCGCAGUAAUGCUGAGGAAUUGCCUCCUGCUCAAGUAUGAACACGACAAGAUGGAGCAGUACUCCCGAAGAGAGAACUUACGUAUUUCUAGAUGAGAGGAAGAAGAGGACGAAAGUGAGGAGGUGCUGGAAGCUAAAGUUAUAGAACAUGCUGACACUAUUGAAGUGAAAAUUGAGCAGGAUGACAUUUCUGUUGUUCACCAUUUGCGGAGGCCCAGGGAAGGAGGUAGGCCAGUGAUUGUGAGGUUUUGCCACCGAAAGAAAAGAAAUUAAAUUAUGCAAAAUAAGAAAAAAAAAAAAAAAAAACUGAAAGGUAGGCAAAGAAAAGUGUAUAUAAAUGAUGACAUGACCUCCUUAAGGGUUAAAAUGUUGAAUAUGGUUAAAGGGCAAGAAACAGUGAAAAAUGUGUCCACAAGGGAGGGGAGCAUUCUUGUAUAGUUGCACAGUGGGGGUAGACCUGUAGUUAUAAACUGUCCUGAUGACUUAGAAAAGGUUGUUAUAUCUGCUCCUGAUUGGAAAAGGUUAAAUCUAGAUCACUUAACAAGGGCCUAGGAUGGCCCUGCUGGGGCACAGCACAUACUUGGGCAUGAUAAUAGUGUUAGUGUAAGUAAUAUUAACUCUGUUCAGUUUGUUCCUCCCCUGGAUUAUAUUAAUGUGUCGUCUCUUAAUGUCUGCGGUAUCAAGUCAAAGUUUUUAUCUAUGAAUUUUGUUAACUUUAUUAAAGAUUAUGGUGUGAUUUGUUGAUGUGAAACUAAGUGUGAUGAUACUGAUGUAAUUAAUGUAAAAAACAAUAUGGAAAAUAUCGGCUUUGACAUUGUCUUUAAGGACAAAAGCAAAUUAAGCAGGUUUAAAUCUGGGGGUUUGCUCAUGGCCAUCAAGAAAAAUGCUAGUUUUAAGUGGAGGCAUAUUAGUAACACUUAUGAUUCUUUACUUUCAGUUAAAGUUGAUAGAAGUAGUGUAAAUUUUGGUAGGGAACUGGUAAUAAGCUGUGUUUACAUUCCCCCCUCACACUCUAGAUGUGGUAAUGAAGAGCACUAUGACGAGCUGGAUGAUUUUUUGCUUACUUACUCAUGUGAUGAUUAUGUGCAUUGCAUGUGCUUUGUGGUGAUUUUAAUGCUCACACUCUCACUAUGUCUGAUGUUCCUUCUGAGGCUGCUGAGGACCCUGUGUCUGUAAGUUUAACUAAUUUUGGAAUAACUGAGACUAGAGCAAACCAGGACUUAACCCCAGAUAGGAAUUCAUAUGAGAAAAAGUUGUUGGAUGUUUGUAAGAAUGAUCAAGUUUAUAUAUUGAAUGGAAGGUUAGGGGAGGACUGCAGCAUUGGCAAACAAUACAACUAUUGACUACUUUUUAGGAUCACCAUUGAUUGUGAAAUAUGUUGUAGUUCUUAAAGUAUUAGAUUAUGAACCUUUGUGGUCUGAUGUACACUGUGGACUACAUGCAAGGAUCAAAUGUGAGAUGCAAAGUACGGUGCCUGUUGUAAACCGAGAGGCAAAGGAAUCAAGACAAUCAGGUGUAAGGCAAAGUAAAUGGAAUGUUGAAAAACAAUUUUUAUGUGUGAGUAAUAUUGAUGAAACUAAGAUAAAUGAACUGAUUGCAAAAGUGGAUGAAUUACCCAUGGAUGCUAUUAAUCUAGAUUUAAAACAAAUACUGAUUGAGGUGGCACUUGCAACUUUCCCACCAUAUAAGAAAAGAUCAUUCAUGAAAAAGUCCAAUAAUGCCACCUCAGUGGGAUAUGAUAAAGAGUGCUGGCCAUCUAGAAAGGAAUACCACAAAGCUAGACAGAGAUUUCAUUUGCAUAGUGAAAAUUUUAACAACAUGAUUGAGAAAAGCAGGAAAAAUAAAGCAAAUCUAAAAAGAGUGAAGAAUAAGGAGAUGGAUAACUUAAUAAAGAAAUUUAGAAAAUAUAAGAGUGAUGACCCUAAAGCAUAUUGGAAAAUUUUAAAUAGUCAGAAAAGAACUUAUCAGAUCCCAAGAACACUAAAUGAAUUCUAUGACCAUUUUAAGCAGCUAGCGGGUGAUGAAAAUUCUGACAAUAGUGAUGUGAAUAUUACAAAUGAUGAAGACUGUGCGGAUGCUGAAAUUUUAUCAGUACUUAAUGAUCCUAUAAGGGAAGGAGAGGUAGUUAAAAAUAUUAAGAAGUAAAAAAAAAAACAAUAAAUCCCCAGCAUCUGAUAUGAUAUUAAAUUAAUAUAUUAAAAAGUACUUGAUACUGGUGUCAUGCCAGCUGAAUGGUUGGUGGGUACAAUAGUGCCACUCUAUAAAAACAAGGGAGACAUCCAGGAUGUUAAUAAUUACAGGGCCAUCACCUUACUUAGCUGCAUGGGGAAGCUGUUCACCUCCAUACUUAAUGAAAGACUUAAUGAUUAUUCAAACACCUUAUCUACCAUUAAUGAAACACAAACGGGCUUCAGACACAGAUAUUCCACUCUGGAUCAUAUAUUUUUUCUUCAAAUGUGUCAUUGAUUUAUUUAAGUGGAAGAAGAGAAAGCUAUUUUGUUUAUUUGUUGAUUACAAGAAAGCCUUUGAUAUGGUACAGUGUGAAGAUUUAUGGUGUAAACUUGUGAAGGAAGAGAUGCAAGGAAAAAUUCUAAAUGUAAUCAGAAAUAUGUACAAUAAUAUCAGAUCAUGUGUCAUGCUUAACCAGGAGAUUUCAGACACCUUUGUUUGCAAUGUAGGGGUAAGACAGGGGGAAAAUUUAUCAUCGGUGCUUUUUGCUUUUUAUGUGAAUGAUAUUGAAAGUAAAUUAAUUUAAUAUAAUUGCAGUUAUGUAAAUUUUGGUGACGAUUUCUUAAACAUGUAUCUUAAACUAUUUGUGAUUAUGUAUGCAGAUGAUACAAUUAUUUUGUGUGACAGUGAGGAUGGAAUGAAGCAGGCACUGGUUGCUCUGAAUUUAUAUUGUAAUGAAUGGAAAUUGAAGCUAAAUUGUAACAAAACAAAAAUAGUAGUGUUUAGCAGGGGAAGACAAAAUUUAACUAUGAACUUGAAUUUGGUGGUAAAAACAUUGAAGUAGUGACAGAGUAUAAGUAUCUUGGAGUAUUAUUAAAUUAUAAUGGGAGGUUUUGCAAAGGUGAGCUGGAGCUAAAAGAGACACCUACAAGAGCAAUGUACUCAUUAAUAAGUAAGUGUAGGAAGUUUGACUUGCCAGUGGAUAUACGAGUACAACUCAAAUUAUUUACCACCACGGUGUUACCUAUAUUGACUUGUGCAGCUGAAAUUUUGGGUUACCAUAUUGCUAGGGAGUUAGAGUAUAUGUACAUGAAAUUUUUAAAGCAGGUUUUGGAUGUUCAUGAGAAUACUUGUAAUGACAUGGUGUAUGGUGAACUGGGUGUAUUUCCACUUGAUAUUUAUAUAAAGAAAAAAAAUGAUAGGUUAUUGGUCUAAGCUAAUUUCAGGUAAAAAUACUAAACUGUGUUAUUUAAUGUACCAAUGUCUAUUGCAGCUGGAUAGGUUAGGGCUUCAUAGUUCUCCAUGGUAAACUUGUAUAAAGAAUAUUUGUAAUGACUGUGGAAUGUCUGGUAUGUGGUGUUGCAAGAUGUUCCUAAUUCAAGAUGGGUGAAGAAAGCUAUGGAACAGAGAUUGAAAGAUCAGUGGCUUGUAACUUGGCAUCAUAAUUUAGAAACAAAAUCAUUAAGUAGCAGUUAUAGGGUGUUUAAGACAGAUUUUGGCAGAGAACAGUAUUUAGAACAGUUAACAAAGGGUGACAGAUUAUUAGUGACUAAAUUUAGAAGUUGUAAUAAUAGACUUCCUGUAAAUGUUGGUAGGUAUCAAGGUGUCAGUAGAGAAGAUAGGGUAUGUAACAUGUGUAAUGCUGAGGUAGAAGGAGAAGAAUUUCAUGUUCUUUUUGAAUGUACUGAUAUGGAAAUUGUUAGGUUAGGUAAUAUGUAUAUAGCAAAUUACAUAAAUAGGCCAACACAAUUCAAAUAUGUUUUGUUCAUGCAAAGUAUAAGUUCAAAUGUGAUAAAGAAAUUAUCUUUGAUUUUUGAGGAUGGUGCUACGCUUGUUUAGAUAAACAGUGUGCAAAACACCUCAAUAGUUUUUUUUAAAUUUCUUAAUUAGUGACAGUAUGUAUCAUUAUAUAUGCAUACACAUUUUUUUAUAUAAAUUUUUUGCCAUUGCUUACAGCGUAUUUCAUUUGUAUGUAUUUGUCUUUUCUUAUGUAAUAUUAUGCACGUUCUGUAUAUAAUCUACUGUGUCUGUAUUCUUUUGCUGGAGAGCUGUGCUCCAUACUUUAUAGAAAGUCUGACCUUACUCAAUAAAUUCAAUUCAAUUCA